GAGUUUGAUCCUGGCUCAGAACGUACGCUGGCGGCACGCCUAACACAUGCAAGUCGAACGAAGUAGCAAUACUUAGUGGCAGACGGGUGAGUAACAUGUAGGUAUCUGCCCUUUGGCCUGGAAUAACACGAGGAAACUUGUGCUAAUACCGGAUAAGUCUUUACGGAGAAAGCUUUAUGCACCAUUGGAUGAGCCUGCACUUGAUUAGUUUGUUGGUGGGGUAAUGGCCUACCAAGACUGUGAUCAAUAGCUGAUUUGAGAGGAUGAUCAGCCACAUUGGGACUGAGACACGGCCCAAACUCCUACGGGAGGCAGCAGUGGGGAAUCUUGCACAAUGGAGGAAACUCUGAUGCAGCGAUGCCGCGUGAGUGAAGAAGGCCCUUGGGUUGUAAAGCUCUUUCGUCGGGGAAGAAAAUGACUGUACCCGAAUAAGAAGGUCCGGCUAACUUCGUGCCAGCAGCCGCGGUAAUACGAAGGGACCUAGCGUAGUUCGGAAUUACUGGGCUUAAAGAGUUCGUAGGUGGUUGAAAAAGUUAGUGGUGAAAUCCCAGAGCUUAACUCUGGAACUGCCAUUAAAACUUUUCAGCUAGAGUAUGAUAGAGGAAAGCAGAAUUUCUAGUGUAGAGGUGAAAUUCGUAGAUAUUAGAAAGAAUACCAAUUGCGAAGGCAGCUUUCUGGAUCAUUACUGACACUGAGGAACGAAAGCAUGGGUAGCGAAGAGGAUUAGAUACCCUCGUAGUCCAUGCCGUAAACGAUGUGUGUUAGACGUUGGAAAUUUAUUUUCAGUGUCGCAGGAAACCGAUAAACACACCGCCUGGGGAGUACGACCGCAAGGUUAAAACUCAAAUGAAUUGACGG
rnacentral:rRNA from 1 species